rnacentral:rRNA from 1 species
CAGUCGCCGCGGUAAUACGUAGGGUGCGAGCGUUAAUCGGAAUUACUGGGCGUAAAGCGUGCGCAGGCGGUUGUGUAAGACAGGUGUGAAAUCCCCGGGCUUAACCUGGGAACUGCGCUUGUGACUGCACAGCUAGAGUAUGGCAGAGGGGGGUGGAAUUCCACGUGUAGCAGUGAAAUGCGUAGAGAUGUGGAGGAACACCGAUGGCGAAGGCAGCCCCCUGGGCCAAUACUGACGCUCAUGCACGAAAGCGUGGGGAGCAAACAGGAUUAGAUACCGUAGUCCCUGUCUCUUAUACACU